rnacentral:rRNA from 1 species
UACGGGAGGCAGCAGUGGGGAAUAUUGCACAAUGGGCGCAAGCCUGAUGCAGCCAUGCCGCGUGUAUGAAGAAGGCCUUCGGGUUGUAAAGUACUUUCAGUCGUGAGGAAGGUGUUAAGGUUAAUAACCUUAGCAAUUGACGUUAGCGACAGAAGAAGCACCGGCUAACUCCGUGCCAGCAGCCGCGGUAAUACGGAGGGUGCGAGCGUUAAUCGGAAUUACUGGGCGUAAAGGGCACGCAGGCGGUUAAUUAAGUUGGAUGUGAAAUCCCCGGGCUUAACCUGGGAAUGGCAUUCAAGACUGGUUAGCUAGAGUCUUGUAGAGGGGGUUAGAAUUCCAUGUGUAGCGGUGAAAUGCGUAGAGAUGUGGAGGAAUACCGGUGGCGAAGGCGGCCCCUGGACAAAGACUGACGCUCAUGUGCGAAAGCGUGGGGAGCAAACGAGGGAUUAGAU